rnacentral:rRNA from 1 species
CCAAGGAGUCUAACAUGUGCGCGAGUCGCAGGGUUGACUCGCAAGUUGAAACCCGAAGGCGAAAUGAAAGUGAAAGUCGGUGCGUCUGGCCGACUGAGGCGGGAUCCGUCCGGGUAUCGCUGCAGCCCUUGAGGGGGCUGCGGGAGCCCGGCGGCGCACCGCCGGCCCGUCUCGACCGCUUCCUGUCGGCGAGGCGGAGCAAGAGCGCACACGUUGGGACCCGAAAGAUGGUGAACUAUGCUCGGGCAGGACGAAGCCAGAGGAAACUCUGGUGGAGGUCCGUAGCGAUUCUGACGUGCAAAUCGAUCGUCGGACCUGAGUAUAGGGGCGAAAGACUAAUCGAACCGUCUA